CACUGAACAUUGAGCCUUGAUGUGUAGGAUAGGUGGGAGGCUUUGAAGCGUGGACGCCAGUCUGCGUGGAGCCAACCUUGAAAUACCACCCUUUAAUGUUUGAUGUUCUAACGUUGGCCCCUUACCGGGGUUGCGGACAGUGUCUGGUGGGUAGUUUGACUGGGGCGGUCUCCUCCCAAAGCGUAACGGAGGAGCACGAAGGUUAGCUAAUCCUGGUCGGACAUCAGGAGGUUAGUGCAAUGGCAUAAGCUAGCUUGACUGCGAGCGUGACGGCGCGAGCAGGUGCGAAAGCAGGUCAUAGUGAUCCGGUGGUUCUGAAUGGAAGGGCCAUCGCUCAACGGAUAAAAGGUACUCCGGGGAUAACAGGCUGAUACCGCCCAAGAGUUCAUAUCGACGGCGGUGUUUGGCACCUCGAUGUCGGCUCAUCACAUCCUGGGGCUGAAGUAGGUCCCAAGGGUAUGGCUGUUCGCCAUUUAAAGUGGUACGCGAGCUGGGUUUAGAACGUCGUGAGACAGUUCGGUCCCUAUCUGCCGUGGGCGCUGGAGAAUUGAGGGGGGCUGCUCCUAGUACGAGAGGACCGGAGUGGACGCAUCACUGGUGUUCGGGUUGUCAUGCCAAUGGCACUGCCCGGUAGCUAAAUGCGGAAGAGAUAAGUGCUGAAAGCAUCUAAGCACGAAACUUGCCCCGAGAUGAGUUCUCCCUGAGACUUUAAGUCUCCUGAAGGAACGUU
rnacentral:rRNA from 1 species